AAUAUCAUGUAAAUAAGUAAACAUAUGUUGCCACGUGGAUAUAAAUGUGUUAUUUACAAAAUACACAUUCUGAAUGAAAUUAGAAACCUGUCCAUAUGGUAACGGAUUGAAUUUUUACCGGAAUAAAAUUAAAAAAAUACUUCAUCAAUGAAAAAUGGAACGAAACAUUCCUCAACACAAAGGUCAUUAACGAGGUUAACAUGUAAACGUGCUAUUCGUAAAUUAGCUAGCAGAUUUGGUAGGUUAUUGUGUGUAAGGGACCCCUCUUAUUGUGGAGACGGAUGGCAGUAUGGAAAUAUUACUAAAACAUGGAUAUGGAUGGGUUAACUAAGAACUUUUUAAAAAAAAUCUGAAAAAAAAAUCAAAAAUAAUGAAAAGGAAAAAAAAGACACUUUGUGUAUAAAUUGCAAAUUACAUAUAGCUAAAAUAUCAAAAGAAAGGGUUGAAAUAAAUAAAAAAUAAUUUUAACAUUACUUCGGUUAGGACAAACGGGAAAUUGGAUAAAGAAAUUAAAAUAAAAAUAAAAAUAUGCGUUGUUUUCUAAA